rnacentral:rRNA from 1 species
CCUACGGGGGACAGCAGUGAGGAAUAUUGGUCAGUGGACGCAAGUCUGAACCAGCCAUGCCGCGUGCAGGAAGACGGCUCUAUGAGUUGUAAACUGCUUUUGUACGAGGGUAAACGCAGAUACGCGUAUCUGUCUGAAAGUAUCGUACGAAUAAGGAUCGGCUAACUCUGUGCCAGCAGCCGCGGUAAUACGGAGGAUUCAAGCGUUAUCCGGAUUUAUUGGGUUUAAAGGGUGCGUAGGCGGUCGGAUAAGUUAGAGGUGAAAUCCCGAGGCUCAACUUCGGAAUUGCCUCUGAUACUGUGCGGCUAGAGAGUAGUUGCGGUAGGCGGAAUGUAUGGUGUAGCGGUGAAAUGCUUAGAGAUCAUACAGAACACCGAUUGCGAAGGCAGCUUACCAAGCUACUUCUGACGUUGAGGCACGAAAGCGUGGGGAGCAAACAGGAUUAGAUACCCCUGUAGUC